AUGGCCAAUUCUUUAAGAGGAUAAGUACUAAAUCUUUAUAAAAAUCUGCUGUAUCCUUGGACGAGACUAUCCAAAAGGAGCAGACUAUUUUAAACGGCGUUUGAACAACAUUUUCCUUAAAAACAAAGACGUGAAGAAUCCAGAGAAGAUCAAAGAACUUACUGUACAGGGCGAAUUUGUAAUGAAAGAGCUAGAAGCCUUAUAUUUCUUUAGGAAAUACAAAGCUAUGAAACAACGCUGUUAUUCAGAUAUCAACAAAAACUAG
rnacentral:lncRNA from 1 species